rnacentral:rRNA from 1 species
GAUGAACGCUGGCGGCGUGCUUAACACAUGCAAGUCGAGCGGAAGGACCAUAAGCUUGUUGCUUUGAUGUUAGCGGCGCACGGGCGAGUAACACGUGGAUAACCCACCUAUAAGACUGAGAUAACUACGAGAAUCCGGAGCUAAUACUAGAUAAUAUUUUGAACCGCAUGGGUCAAAAGUGAAAGACGGUCUUGCUGUCAGUGAUAGAUGGAUAUGCGCUGCAUUAGCUAGUUGGUAAGGUAACGGCUUACCAAGGCAACGAUGCGUAGCCGACGUGAGAGGGUGGUCGGCCACACUGGAGCGGAGACGCGGCCCAGACUACUACGGGAGGGAGCAGAGGGGAAUGUUCCGCAGUGGGCGGGAGCAUGGCGGAACAACGCCACGUGGGUGGUAGAAGUCUUCGGAUCGGGAUACUCUGCUAUUAGUGAAAAACAUAUGUGUAAGUAACUGUGGACUUCUUGACGGUACCUAAUCAAAAAGCACCGGCUAACUACGUG